rnacentral:rRNA from 1 species
AGCUACACAUGCAGUCGAGCGGUAGCACAGAGAGCUUGCUCUCGGGUGACGAGCGGCGGACGGGUGAGUAAUGUCUGGGAAACUGCCUGAUGGAGGGGGAUAACUACUGGAAACGGUAGCUAAUACCGCAUAACGUCGCAAGACCAAAGUGGGGGACCUUCGGGCCUCAUGCCAUCAGAUGUGCCCAGAUGGGAUUAGCUAGUAGGUGGGGUAACGGCUCACCUAGGCGACGAUCCCUAGCUGGUCUGAGAGGAUGACCAGCCACACUGGAACUGAGACACGGUCCAGACUCCUACGGGAGGCAGCAGUGGGGAAUAUUGCACAAUGGGCGCAAGCCUGAUGCAGCCAUGCCGCGUGUGUGAAGAAGGCCUUCGGGUUGUAAAGCACUUUCAGCGGGGAGGAAGGCGAUAAGGUUAAUAACCUUGUCGAUUGACGUUACCCGCAGAAGAAGCACCGGCUAACUCCGUGCCAGCAGCCGCGGUAAUACGGAGGGUGCAAGCGUUAAUCGGAAUUACUGGGCGUAAAGCGCACGCAGGCGGUCUGUCAAGUCGGAUGUGAAAUCCCCGGGCUCAACCUGGGAACUGCAUUCGAAACUGGCAGGCUAGAGUCUUGUAGAGGGGGGUAGAAUUCCAGGUGUAGCGGUGAAAUGCGUAGAGAUCUGGAGGAAUACCGGUGGCGAAGGCGGCCCCCUGGACAAAGACUGACGCUCAGGUGCGAAAGCGUGGGGAGCAAACAGGAUUAGAUACCCUGGUAGUCCACGCCGUAAACGAUGUCGAUUUGGAGGUUGUGCCCUUGAGGCGUGGCUUCCGGAGCUAACGCGUUAAAUCGACCGCCUGGGGAGUACGGCCGCAAGGUUAAAACUCAAAUGAAUUGACGGGGGCCCGCACAAGCGGUGGAGCAUGUGGUUUAAUUCGAUGCAACGCGAAGAACCUUACCUGGUCUUGACAUCCACAGAACUUUCCAGAGAUGGAUUGGUGCCUUCGGGAACUGUGAGACAGGUGCUGCAUGGCUGUCGUCAGCUCGUGUUGUGAAAUGUUGGGUUAAGUCCCGCAACGAGCGCAACCCUUAUCCUUUGUUGCCAGCGGUUAGGCCGGGAACUCAAAGGAGACUGCCAGUGAUAAACUGGAGGAAGGUGGGGAUGACGUCAAGUCAUCAUGGCCCUUACGACCAGGGCUACACACGUGCUACAAUGGCAUAUACAAAGAGAAGCGACCUCGCGAGAGCAAGCGGACCUCAUAAAGUAUGUCGUAGUCCGGAUUGGAGUCUGCAACUCGACUCCAUGAAGUCGGAAUCGCUAGUAAUCGUAGAUCAGAAUGCUACGGUGAAUACGUUCCCGGGCCUUGUACACACCGCCCGUCACACCAUGGGAGUGGGUUGCAAAAGAAGUAGGUAGCUUAACCUUCGGGAGGGCGCUACCAC